rnacentral:rRNA from 3 species
AAACUUUCAACAACGGAUCUCUUGGCUCUGGCAUCGAUGAAGAACGCAGCGAAACGCGAUAAGUAAUGUGAAUUGCAGAAUCCAGUGAAUCAUCGAAUCUUUGAACGCACAUUGCGCCCGCCAGCAUUCUGGCGGGCAUGCCUGUUCGAGCGUCAUUAC